rnacentral:rRNA from 1 species
UAGUGGCGAACGGGUGAGUAACACGUGGGUAAUCUGCCCUGCACUCUGGGAUAAGCUCGGGAAACUGGGUCUAAUACCGGAUAUGACCAGGAAUCGCAUGGUUUCUGGUGGAAAGCUUUUGCGGUGUGGGAUGGGCCCGCGGCCUAUCAGCUUGUUGGUGGGGUGAUGGCCUACCAAGGCGACGACGGGUAGCCGGCCUGAGAGGGUGACCGGCCACACUGGGACUGAGACACGGCCCAGACUCCUACGGGAGGCAGCAGUGGGGAAUAUUGCACAAUGGGCGAAAGCCUGAUGCAGCGACGCCGCGUGAGGGAUGACGGCCUUCGGGUUGUAAACCUCUUUCAGCAGGGAAGAAGCGCAAGUGACGGUACCUGCAGAAGAAGCACCGGCUAACUACGUGCCAGCAGCCGCGGUAAU